UGGAGGAAAGCAGGGGAUCGCAAGACCUUGCGCUUUUGGAGUGGCCGAUGCCUGAUUAGCUAGUUGGUGGGGUAAGAGCCUACCAAGGCGACGAUCAGUAGUUGGUCUGAGAGGACGACCAGCCACACUGGGACUGAGACACGGCCCAGACUCCUACGGGAGGCAGCAGUGGGGAAUUUUGGACAAUGGGCGGAAGCCUGAUCCAGCAAUGCCGCGUGAGUGAAGAAGGCCUUCGGGUUGUAAAGCUCCUUCAGUCGAGAAGAAAAGGUUGUGACUAAUAAUCGCAACUUAUGACGGUAUCGACAGAAGAAGCACCGGCUAACUACGUGCCAGCAGCCGCGGUAAUACGUAGGGUGCGAGCGUUAAUCGGAAUUACUGGGCGUAAAGGGUGCGCAGGCGGCUCUGUAAGUCAGAUGUGA
rnacentral:rRNA from 1 species